rnacentral:rRNA from 1 species
AACGAACGCUGGCGGCAUGCUUUACACAUGCAAGUCGAACGAGAAAGUACCUUCGGGUGCGAGUAUAGUGGCAAACGGGUGAGUAACGCGUGGGAAUAUACCCUAUAGUACGGAAUAGCCUCGGGAAACUGGGAUUAAUACCGUAUACGCCCUUCGGGGGAAAGAUUUAUCGCUAUAGGAUUAGCCCGCGUCAGAUUAGCUUGUUGGUGGGGUAAUGGCCUACCAAGGCAACGAUCUGUAGCUGGUCUGAGAGGAUGAUCAGCCACACUGGGACUGAGACACGGCCCAG